CUGGGCGUAAGCGUGCGUAGGUGGUUAGAUUAGUUGGGUGUGAAAGCCCCGGGCUCAACCUGGGAACUGCAUUCAAUACUGUCUAGCUAGAGUAUGGUAGAGGGAAGUGGAAUUCUGCAUGUAGCGGUGAAAUGCGUAGAGAUGCAGAGGAACACCAGUGGCGAAGGCGACUUCCUGGACCAAUACUGACGCUGAGGUACGAAAGCGUGGGGAGCAAACAGGAUUAGAUACCCUGGUAGUCCACGCCGUAAACGAUGACAACUAGCUGUUGGGAUUGUAGUGAUCUUAGUAGCGAAGCUAACGCGUUAAGUUGUCCGCCUGGGGAGUACGGCCGCAAGGUUAAAACUCAAAGGAAAUUGACGG
rnacentral:rRNA from 1 species